rnacentral:rRNA from 1 species
GCUCCAGACUCCUACGGGAGGCAGCAGUGGGGAAUAUUGCGCAAUGGGGGAAACCCUGACGCAGCAACGCCGCGUGAGUGAAGAAGUAUCUCGGUAUGUAAAGCUCUAUCAGCGGGGAAGAAGGAAGACGGUACCCGACUAAGAAGCCCCGGCUAACUACGUGCCAGCAGCCGCGGUAAUACGUAGGGGGCGAGCGUUAUCCGGAUUUACUGGGUGUAAAGGGCGUGUAGGCGGGAAAGCAAGUCAGAUGUGAAAACCAUGGGCUCAACCUGUGGCCUGCAUUUGAAACUGUUUUUCUUGAGUACUGGAGAGGCAGACGGAAUUCCUAGUGUAGCGGUGAAAUGCGUAGAUAUUAGGAGGAACACCAGUGGCGAAGGCGGCUUACUGGACUGUAACUGACGUUGAGGCUCGAAAGCGUGGGGAGCAAACAGGAUUAGAUACCCCCGUAAA